GAUGAACGCUAGCUACAGGCUUAACACAUGCAAGUCGAGGGGCAGCAUUUCAGUUUGCUUGCAAACUGGAGAUGGCGACCGGCGCACGGGUGAGUAACACGUAUCCAACCUGCCGAUAACUCGGGGAUAGCCUUUCGAAAGAAAGAUUAAUACCCGAUGGUAUAAUCAGACCGCAUGGUCUUGUUAUUAAAGAAUUUCGGUUAUCGAUGGGGAUGCGUUCCAUUAGGCAGUUGGUGAGGUAACGGCUCACCAAACCUUCGAUGGAUAGGGGUUCUGAGAGGAAGGUCCCCCACAUUGGAACUGAGACACGGUCCAAACUCCUACGGGGAGCAGCAGUGAGGAAUAUUGGUCAAAUGGGGCGCAGGCCUGAACCAGCCAAGUAGCGUGAAGGAUGACUGCCCUAUGGGUUGUAAAACUUCUUUUAUAUGGGAAUAAAGUUUUCCACGUGUGGAAUUUUGUAUGUACCAUAUGAAUAAGAUCGGCUAAACUCCGUG
rnacentral:rRNA from 1 species